AGGAAUAAAAAUAAUAUAGCAAGACACUCUUUUCUCAUGUGAGUGACAAGAUCAUCAAACAUUCAAGAUUUAAUCAGUUUUACAUGCAUGAGUUCAACAAUUUUACAUUCAAGAUUUAAACCCAAUUAACUUUUAAGUUAAGUAUUGUAACAAAUAAAAAAACAGAGGGUGCUAUGCAAAAGCCAGAUUGAGCAUCAGCGAUUUUGGAGGAAACCCUAGCCAUUUCUGGCGAUUUUUCCAAAACCUCGGUCAUUUCUGGCAGUUUUGGCAAAACUCCAGCCAUUUUUGACAGUUUUUACAAAAUCCUGACUAUUUCCGAAGGUUCUUCCAAAACCCCAGUUAUUUUCGGCGGUUUUUGCAAAAUCCCGGCUAUUUUCGGCAAUUUUUGAAAAAACUGCUGGUAAUGUUUAAGGACGUUGUUUCUCCCUACGUUUUUUGCAAUCGUGGAAAAAGUAUUUUCUAGGGGUUAAAAUCGAAGGUAAUACUUAAAAUAAACUCCAAAAAAAUUGUGUAUUUUUGUAGUGUCUACACUUUUUGUGCACACUUUGUUCACCCUUUACACACCCUUUCUACAUCCUUUCUACAUCUUUUCAACACCCUUUCUAUACCCUUCUUACAUCAUUCUAUAGUCUUUCUACAUAUUUUUUAGAAACAUGUAAAAUGGGUAUACACCCUUUACACACCCUCUGUAUACUUUUUCUACACUAGUUGUACACCUUUUUCUACGUUUUUAAAUUUCUUUGUAAACCCUUUGUUCAACAUUUGAACACUAUUCUAUACUCGUUGUAUACACUAUCUACUCCCUUUCUACACCCUUUGUACACGAUUAUGCAGUUUUUCUACAUAUUUUUUUGGAAAGAUGUAGAAUGGGUGUACACCCUUUGUACACCUUUUAUACACCAUAUAUAAACCAUUUGUACGCCCCUUUUAUAGCUAUCUUCAUCCUUAUACACCCUUUCUAAACACUUUCAACACCCUUUCUACACUCUUCGUAUACCUUUUGUACACCUUUCUAUAAGCUUUCUACAUAAUUUGUAAAAGAUGUAGAAUGGGUACACUCUUUGUACACCCUUUGUAGACUCUUUGUACACCUUUUCUACAUUUUUAAACUUUUUUGUAAACCCUUUGAAAAACCUUUGUACACCCCUUGUACAUCAUUCUACACACUUUGUACACACUUUGUACACACUUUGUACACACUUUGUGUACCCUUUCUAAACCCUUUCAACACCCUUUGUAUAUCCUUUGCACACCCUUUUACAACCUCUCUACAUACUAUGUAGACAGAUGUAGAACCCUUUCAACACCCUUUGUAUAUCCUUUGCACACCUUUUUACAACCUCUCUACAUACUUUGAAGACAGAUGUAGAAAGCGUGUACACCUUUUGUUCACACUUUGUAUACCCUUUCUACACCUUUCUUCAUAUUUUUACCCCAUUUCUAAAUCCUUUCAACACUCUUUCUAUACGUUUUGUACACCCUUUGUGCAUUCUUCUGCAACUUUUCAACAUAUGUUUCGUUUGUACACCCUUUAUACAUCCUUGAAACACCCUUUGUACACCCUUGAUACACCCCUUGCACACAAUUUGUACAUCAUUUCUACAUCUUUUUACACCAUUUCUAAAUCCUUUUUACAUCUUUUUUUAUACCCUUUGUACACCCUUCUAAAAUCAUUCUAACUAUUUUGUAGAAAGAUGUAUAAUGGGUGUACAACCUUUGAACACCCUUUAUACAUUCGUUUUACACCCUUUAAUAUCCUUUCUAUACCCUUCUACAACCUCUCUACAUAUUUUGUAAAAAGAUGUAGAAUGAAUGUACACCCUUAUUACACCCUUUAUACACCCUUUGUACAUCCCUUAUACACCAUUUCUACACAUUUUCUACAUUUUUCUACAUCCUUUGUAUACUCUUUGUACACCCUUCUGCAAUCUUUCUACAUAUUUUUUAGAAAUAUGUAAAACAAAUGUUAACUCAUCCACACCCAUUAUACACCUUUUAUACACCCCUUGUAUAAACUUUGUAUACUCUUUAUACAUCUUUCUUCAUCUUUUUACAGCUUUUCUAAAUCAUUUCAACACCCUUUCUACACCUUUUGUAUAUCCUUUUUACACCCUUCUACAACCUUUACACAUAUUUUAUAGAAAGAUGUAGAAUAGUGUUACACCCUUUAAAAACCCUUUCUACAUCCUUUGUUUACACUUUCUACUACAAUCUACAACCUUUCUACAUAUUUCUACAACCUUUAUACAACCUUUAUACAACCUUUAUAUACCAUUUUUACUCUCUUUUAACAUUUGUUGUACAUCUUUUCUAUAUUUUCAAACUUUUUUGUAAAUCUUUCGUACACCCCUAAUACACUCUUCUACACUCUUUAUACACACUUUGUAUACCCUUUCUACAAAAUUUUCAAACUUCUUUGUAAACCUUUUGUACACCCCUUUAUACACACUUUGAAUAACCUUUCUACACCCUUUCAACAUCCUUUCGACAUCCUUUCUAUACUCUUUGUAUACCCUUCUACAAGCUUUCUUCAUAUUUUUUAGAAAGACGUAGAAUGUGUGUACAUUGUAUCUUUUAUACACCCUUUUUACAUUUUUAUACACCCUUUAUACACCAUUUAUACACUAUUUGUACAUCCCUUAUAGACUCUUUGAACACACUUUGUUAAGUCUUUCUACAACCUUUCUAUACUCUUUUUCUAUACUCUUUUUCUACAUUCUUUCUAUAUCCUUUGUACACCCUUCUACAUUCUUUCGACAUAUUUUUUAGAAUUAUGUAGAAUGAAUGUAUAUAUUUUGUAUACCCUUUGUACACCCUUUGUGCAUCUUUCUACAAC
rnacentral:lncRNA from 1 species